rnacentral:rRNA from 1 species
GAUGAACGCUAGCUACAGGCUUAACACAUGCAAGUCGAGGGGAAACGAUAUUGGAAGCUUGCUUCCGAUAGGCGUCGACCGGCGCACGGGUGAGUAACGCGUAUCCAACCUGCCCACCACUUGGGGAUAACCUUGCGAAAGUAAGACUAAUAACCAAUGACGACCAUAGAAGACAUCUGAAAUGGAUUAAAGAUUUAUCGGUGAUGGAUGGGGAUGCGUCUGAUUAGCUUGUUGGCGGGGUAACGGCCCACCAAGGCGACGAUCAGUAGGGGUUCUGAGAGGAAGGUCCCCCACAUUGGAACUGAGACACGGUCCAAACUCCUACGGGAGGCAGCAGUGAGGAAUAUUGGUCAAUGGGCGAGAGCCUGAACCAGCCAAGUAGCGUGCAGGAUGACGGCCCUAUGGGUUGUAAACUGCUUUUAUAAGGGAAUAAAGUGAGUCUCGUGAGGCUUUUUGCAUGUACCUUAUGAAUAAGGACCGGCAAACUCCGUGCCAGCCGCCGCCGUAA